GACGAACGCUGGCGGCGUGCCUAAUACAUGCAGGUAGAACGCUGAAGAGAGGAGCUUGCUCUUCUUGGAUGAGUUGCGAACGGGUGAGUAACGCGUAGGUAACCUGCCUUGUAGCGGGGGAUAACUAUUGGAAACGAUAGCUAGUACCGCAUAACAAUGGAUGACACAUGUCAUUUAUUUGAAAGGGGCAAUUGCUCCACUACAAGAUGGACCUGCGUUGUAUUAGCUAGUAGGUGAGGUAAUGGCUCACCUAGGCGACGAUACAUAGCCGACCUGAGAGGGUGAUCGGCCACACUGGGACUGAGACACGGCCCAGACUCCUACGGGAGGCGGCAGUAGGGAAUCUUCGGCAAUGGGGGCAACCCUGACCGAGCAACGCCGCGUGAGUGAAGAAGGUUUUCGGAUCGUAAAGCUCUGUUGUAAGUCAAGAACGGGUGUGAGAGUGGAAAGUUCACACUGUGACGGUAGCUUACCAGAAAGGGACGGCUAACUACGUG
rnacentral:rRNA from 1 species